UAAACAGAAACUCGUUGGUUGGAGUGUUUAGCUGUUAACUAAAUAUUUGUGAGAUCGAAGCUCGCCUGUUUAU
rnacentral:tRNA from 1 species